GCUUGUGAGUCACCUGAGGGGGCAGCCACGGGAAGAUGGGCAUGAGAGGCUUCCAGGAACAGGGCAGCAAAGGCAAAGGUCUUCAGAGCAGCCAACCCCAGGCGGGUUAUUUAAUUGCUGUAAGCUUCAGUUUCUUCAUCUUAAAAUGAGAACUAUGAUGAUAAAUUAACACCGAGUAUUUACUAUGUGCCAGCACAAUUUUUUUUAUUUUAAUUUUUUAUUUUUAUUUUUUCUUUUUUAGAGACAGGGUCUCACUCUGUCACCCAGGCUGGAGUGUAGGAGCACAAUCAUAGCUCACUGCAGCCUCGAAUUCCUGGGCUCAAGCGAUCUUCCUGCUUCAGCCUCAGCCUCCUGAGUAGCUGGGACUGCAGGUGGCCACCACGAUGCCCAGUUAAUUGUUUUAUUUUUUGUGGAGAUGGGGUCUCGCUAUGUUGCCCAGGCUGAUCUCGAAUCCUGGACUCAAGUAAUCCUCUGGGCUUGGCCUCCCAAAGUGUUGGGAUUAUAGGCAUGAGCCACUGUGCCCAGCCCAGGCACAAUUCUAAAUGCCUUACAUGUAUGGACUCAUUUAGUCCUCACAAUGGCUCUCAGAUUUAUGUACUACUGUUAUCCUGCCAUUUUUACAGAAACUGAGGAAACUGAGGCACAGAGAGGAUAAGGUCACCAGCUGGUAAGUGGCAGAGCCAGGACUUGAGCCCAGGCUGGGUGGCUCAGAGCCGUGCUCUUGGCCACUCCCUCAGGCACCUCUUCAGGCCCCCUUGCAGCAUUAUCAUCGUAAACCAUGUGCGUGGUGUGUUUAUACACCUGGUGUAGCCUUGGCCAGUGCCAGCACAAAGUAAGCCAACACAUCGCAGUGUAAACAUUUUUAGAUGCAAAUAUUCCAGAAUGUCAGC
rnacentral:lncRNA from 1 species